GUUUUUUUUGGAUAUCUAGCUCGCCUUCAUCCAAUUCUUAGCUACACAAUCUCGGUUGUCGCCGCUGCCGCCUUGAUUGAACAGAGGGACCUAAUUUAUUACACGAUGAAAUCAACCUAAACACAAACUGAGUGAAGUAGAAGCUAGGGUGGUAGUAGGUGGCCGAACUGAGUGAAGUAGAAGCUAGGGUGGUAGUAGGUGGCCGACCGACAAGCAGGGGCCGGUCGGUAGGCGGCCGGUGAGAAAGACGUUCGAUCUGUUGCCGUGGUGCGCCUUGACGGACUCCUGCGAUGCGAAGGCCAGCCGGCACGCCUUGCACGCAAAUCUCAGGCGGCUCUAGGCCCUGAUCGGCUCUAGGUUCGCCUCGUGCGCCGACUUGAGGCGCCGCCUGGGGAGCGCAGGGUCGUCGUCCCUACCCUCGCCGCCCAUGCGGCCGCCAGCCCGUGGUGCGGGACGACCGGGCCAGCCACGCUCAUCGUCGUGGCGAUCGAGAGGGUUCGGAGCUGAGAUACCUCUCUCUCGAUUGAGAUCGAGAGAAGGAAUGGAUCGGAGACCGCCGCUGGGGAUGAGGGGAGAGCUAUUUAACUUUAGCCUUCACUAGAUAGAG
rnacentral:lncRNA from 7 species